UACAGAGGUCCCGAGCGUUGUUCGGAUUCACUGGGCGUAAAGGGUGCGUAGGUGGUGAGGUAAGUCGGAUGUGAAAUCUCUGGGCUUAACCCAGAACGGCCAAGUGAAACUGUUUGUGUUAGAGUGCAGAAGGGGGCAAUCGGAAUUCUCGGUGUAGCGGUGAAAUGCGUAGAUAUCGAGAGGAACACCAGAGGUGAAGACGGGUUGCUGGGCUGACACUGACGCUGAGGCGCGAAAGCCAGGGGGAGCAAACGGG
rnacentral:rRNA from 1 species